UGGCUUCCAGAUACAUACAAAGGAGGGC
rnacentral:piRNA from 1 species